UACAGAGGUCCCAAGCGUUGUUCGGAUUCACUGGGCGUAAAGGGUGCGUAGGUGGUCAGGUAAGUCUGAUGUGAAAUCUCUGAGCUCAACUCAGAAAUGGCAUUGGAUACUAUCUGGCUAGAGGGUCGGAGGGGGGACUGGAAUUCUCGGUGUAGCAGUGAAAUGCGUAGAUAUCGAGAGGAACACCAGUGGCGAAGGCGGCUCUCUGGGACGGUACUGACGCUGAGACGCGAAAGCGUGGGGAGCGAACAGG
rnacentral:rRNA from 1 species